CAUCACGUAUCAUGCAAAAUAAACUGUCAAAAUACUGUCAAAUGAAGUUUUAAAUUAUCCGAUAAUAAUUAAUAAUAAUGAUUUUCUUUUAAAGGAUGAAUUAUGGAACCACUAUCAAUUUUAUUACUUGGUACUUGUAUUAUUGCAUGUUGGCCAUGUUUGUUACCUUGUUGCUUGGCUCUCCCAAUUAUACCAUAUCCUCUACUAAUUAUAGAUUCUACGAAAAAUAUGGAUAGAUCUAAAAAAGAGAUGGACAGUCGUUACUACUACAUAUGUGUUACGAAAAAUGGUAUAUUCUUAAAGAAAAAUCGAGGUUAUGAGAAGUUAACUACUUUUUGAUAUAACUUUGUUAUUUUUAUAAAAUUAAACAGUUGUGCACUU